rnacentral:rRNA from 1 species
GAUCCUGGCUCAGGAUGAACGCUAGCGGCAGGCUUAACACAUGCAAGUCGAGGGGCAGCGCUGGGUGGCAACACCCUGGCGGCGACCGGCGGAAGGGUGCGUAACACGUGAGCAACUUGCCCGUAUCCGGGACAUAACCGGCGGAAACGCCGACUAAUUUCCCAUGACAGCGUGGGCCGCAUGGCCCGCGCUUGAAAGACACGUCGGAUGCGGAGUGGCUCGGCGGGACAUUAGCGUGGUUGG